AUCCCACGAGCGUGUGCGGGGGGAGGGGGAGCGCUUGCGCCCCGCUGCCCUGUGACUCAUUGUCACCGCUUCCUAUCACACGAUCCUCGGCUGAAAUAGAUGCCCCCCCUUGCCCGCCCCGCCAACCCGUAGCCUGUGCCCUCGCCUCCAACCCCUUUAACCUGGCCAGCCCGGCGGGAGGCCGGCGCGGCAACUGCUUGGGGAUCCCUGGGGACCGUGGGCUGGCUACGAAUGGGUCACGCCUCUGUCCCGCUUUUCAGUGCCACCUGGGAGGGUUGGGUGGGCUUUGCAGCUUCAAGGGUAACGUAGGCAGUCCCCCAUCUCCAGCUAGACUAGGGCACCCGAAUUUCCCCAGGGAGCCGCUCUCUGACCCACUACGCCUGGACCCAGGAAGUGGCUGCUGAGCCGCCAGCCGGUGUUGCCCAGCUGUGGCAGUUUGCCAGGAGCUCGGCCGUGGGGCGCGGUGUCUGGCGAAGCAUGCCGGGGAGGAGGCAGCAGGGCCGGGCAGGCAGGGCCCUGGGAUCCGAGGGUGUCCUGGACCUGACUCUGUGGAGUGGAGGAGGGGUGUGGGCCGGAGUCUCCACGUGUUUAAUCUCCACUCAAGCUUGCAACAGCUCCAAAUGACCACUUGCUUUAUAGCAAUCGGUCUCAGAUUUAUUUCACCUUGGAGUCUCAUGAGAAUGCACUGCAUGAUGCAGAAAUAGCAUGUAAGCUCCGCCCGAUGGGUUUUAAGGCACAUUUCAGAAAAGCCCAAGCCUUAGCCACCCUAGGCAAGGUGGAGGAGGCACUAAGGGAGUUUCUCUACUGUGUAUCCCUUGAUGGAAAGAACAAGAGAGCAAGAUGUGAAGCCCAAAGACUUCUCCUUAGUUUCUUUUCACCAUCAGUCCCGGGGGAUUCUCAGGAACAUUCUCCCGAUAUCCUGAAGCUGUUGGCACCUCACCCUAGAUUAAAGGAAAACGUAGAGUCAAUGACUACUGAAGUUACCAGCCAUAAUCUACCAAGGUUGUUACAGGACAAUCUGGAGCUCCCACAUUGUUCUAGUCAGGAGGAAGCAGCAGCCAGGGGAGAUGGCAGCAGUCUGAUGGACCCAGCUAAAGUGAAGGGGGAUGGUCAGCAGCACCACAUGAAAGACCAGGAAGAAGAGGAGGAGAAGUGGGAUGCUACCUCUCCAAAAGCUACUUCCAGCAAGACUGGAAAAUGCCAGGAAAAGAAAAGGAAACAUUGCCAGAUUGAAUCCCAAGAAGAAACGGGGAUGCCUAAUAAAGCCUCCAAGCAAGAUCCUCCCACUGAUCAGGAGGACAAACCUGCUCUCAGUUUACCACUUGCAUCUUUCGACGCAUCUGACCUUGAAUGCGCUCUAUGUAUGAGAUUAUUCUAUGAGCCAGUCACAACACCUUGCGGGCAUACUUUUUGCUUAAAAUGCCUAGAAAGAUGCCUAGAUCACAACGCAAAGUGUCCAUUGUGCAAAGACGGUCUUUCACAGUGCUUGGCAUCAAGAAAAUACAGCAAAAAUGUAAUAAUGGAGGAGCUCAUAGCUAAAUUCCUUCCAGAAGAACUGAAGGAACGAAGGAAGCUUUAUGAAGAGGAAAUGGAAGAACUUUCUAACCUUAAUAAGAAUGUGCCUAUUUUCGUGUGUACUAUUGCCUAUCCCACCGUUCCUUGUCCCCUGCACAUCUUUGAGCCUUGUUACCGCCUGAUGAUUCGUAGAUGCAUUGAGACAGGCACGAGACAGUUUGGCAUGUGCCUUGGAGAUCCUGUCAAAGGGCACUGCCUGUUGUGUAAUUGAAGCUGUAACCCAGGGACAGGAAAAUAGGCAGAAGUCCCUUGAGCCACAGCAUGGGGCUACAGAAAUGGCUGGGUGCCAGCCCAGGGAAACAGAACUCAUCAAGGAUUUAGUCUCUCGACUCCAUUCUCAAUAAACAGGUUUGCAGAAUAUGGCUGCAUCCUAGAGAUCAGAAAUGUUCGAUUCUUUGCUGAUGGCCGCUCAGUGGUUGACAGCAUAGGCAAGAGGCGCUUCAGGGUGCUCCAUCAGAGCCAGCGGGAUGGCUACAACACAGCCGACAUUGAAUACAUUGAAGACCAAAAGGUUCAGGGAGAGGAUUGUGCUGAGCUCAUGGGAUUACAUAACUGUGUCUAUCAGCAAGCGUCAUUGUGGUUUCAUUCGCUCAAAUUAUCCCUAAAGAAUCGGAUACUCAAUCACUUUGGUCCCAUGCCGGAGAAAGACGCCGAUCCUCAGAUGAACCCGAAUGGCCCAGCCUGGUGCUGGUGGAUGUUAGCAGUUCUUCCCUUGGAAAGCCGAGCUCAGCUCCCCUUCCUAGCAAUGAGGUCCUUAAAGGACAGACUGAAUGGUAUUCGACGAGUCCUGGCCUUCAUAUCCCGAAACUAAAACUAGUGAGUGGAUUGCCGAAGAGGAGCUCCCACCUUCCCCACUGCCGUCGGGGGGAGUCUUCUUGUAAAUAUAUCUAAUUGCAAUAAUAUCUUAACAGAAGGGGGUGUCAAACAGAGGCAUCAGCCUGCUGUUGAUCACAGAGAGAAAUUGAGUAGAAAGACCAAAAGAAUGUGACCUAUUUGAAACUUUCUGUCUUAAGAUGCUUCUUGACAUGCUGCAUAACUACAUAAACAGCAGAGGUGUUUAAGAGCCCAGAAAAACAUAAUUUGAUUUUAACAUUAAAAUUUCCAAAAGUU
rnacentral:sRNA from 1 species